AACGUAGGAGGCGAGCGUUAUCCGGAUUUACUGGGUGUAAAGCGCAUGCAGGCGGUUCGCUAAGUUGGGUGUGAAAGCUCCUGGCUCAACUGGGAGAGGUUGCUCAAGACUGACGAACUCGAGGAUGGUAAGGGAAAGCGGAAUUCCGGGUGUAGUGGUGAAAUGCGUAGAUAUCCGGAGGAACACCAGUGGCGAAGGCGGCUUUCUGGACCAUAACUGACGCUCAGAUGCGAAAGCUAGGGUAGCAAACGGG
rnacentral:rRNA from 1 species